rnacentral:lncRNA from 1 species
UUGAGUCGAUUUAACCAAGGACGACGAGAGAUGAACAAGGAUGAACAACUCUGAAGAGAAUUCUUGUCCAGGGUGCAAUGCAAAAAAUCUACAUACAUCAAGUAGAACUGAAAGCAAAUAAUAUUGAACUAUUGCAAUAUGUUAGCUGUUUCCAUCGUUGCCAUCAUGGUAUAGUGGUAAAGACUGAGGCCAUCAUGAGCGAACGUUGUGGACCGUCUCCAGGUAAAACUCUCGUAACUUUUCGUAUAAUUUUUCUUUAUUUCUUUUUGCCAUUAUUUUUCCAAAAAUGUCUCUAAAUCGCACCUCCUAACAGCUGAAUAUUCAUUUUUAGAUAUUUUUUUGUAUAUUAGGACAAUUUUGAGUCGAUUUAACCAAGGAUGACGAGAGAUGAACAAGGAUG